AGCGUCUCCAGGAAGGAGGGAGCGUCUCCAGGAAGGAGGCGUGGGCGACCGAGGGCGGCAGGGAGGGGGUGGGAGGAGGAGGAACGCACAAGUGCCCCUUCCUGCUUCCCGCAGCCUCGCCCCUCUGCAUGGCUGCCGCACCACGUUUGGGAGAACAUCUUGGUCCGUCAACGCAAGCAGCCGAGGAGAUAGUUGCACUUUCAGGGGCGGAGGAUAACGUCCAGGUGGCCUCACAUCAUGCCUCUUCAGGAGACACCUGGAUCAACUUGAGGACUCUGCAGGGACACACUCAGCCCAGGGGAGUCACUGGGGCCGCCCACAGGAGCGGCUGGGCCGGCCUGGGAAGAUGGGCUGCAAGGUAGCCCCGUGCAUCGUCCUCCAUGCAGCCAGGAGCAGCCCUGGGAGUGCCUGGGGCUCAGGGCGUGGUGCUCCGGGCCUGUGCCCGGCCCUCCUGAGCCCCAUCCAGCCACUCACAGUAGACGUGGGAACUUAAGAGGAUGAUAAGGGUUCCCACCAUACAGGGUCAUUAGGAGGUUUCAAUGAGCUAAUGGAAGUCAAGUCAGGCACACAGCAAUAGCAGCUUCACCAUCACCACCACCACCAUGAUCACCAUCUGAGCUUUCUCUCUGCAGACACCGAAAUGUCACGGAACCGGUACUGUACUCUACAUUCAGUUCACUCUCUUACCAUUCUUAUCAUCAGCCUUUUCCCACAUCGCUGAAAAUUCCUCAAAAGCGUGAUGUUAACAGCUUUGUAAUUGGGCCUCAUUGAGAUGCACUGUCAUUCAGCUCCCCAUCUGACCGUCAGACACGCGGAGGGCGACAGGCCUUCUCUCUCACACCCGUCAGCUGUGACGGACGCUCUGGCCGCGUGCCUGAGUCCCUGGCCCCGUCCUCAGGACACACCCUGCAGGUGGAGUCACGGCACUGAGAGCAGGGUGCUGCUCAGGCGCAGGGUCUUCAUUGCCCCAUCGCUGUCCUCGAAGCCGCCCGCAUGGAUGCCCCCAGUACCCCGAGGACGCCCGUCCCAGCACCCACAGCCCGG
rnacentral:lncRNA from 1 species